UACGAAGGGGGGCUAGCGUUGCUCGGAAUCACUGGGCGUAAAGCGCACGUAGGCGGCUUUUUAAGUCAGGGGUGAAAUCCUGGAGCUCAACUCCAGAACUGCCUUCGAUACUGAGGAUCUCGAGUCCGGGAGAGGUGAGUGGAACUGCGAGUGUAGAGGUGAAAUUCGUAGAUAUUCGCAAGAACACCAGUGGCGAAGGCGGCUCACUGGCCCGGUACUGACGCUGAGGUGCGAAAGCGUGGGGAGCAAACAGG
rnacentral:rRNA from 1 species